rnacentral:lncRNA from 1 species
CAUGACGCGAGAUAAAAAAUUUUAAUCACUCCGACCAGGGAUUGUCCUCGGUUUUCCGACCAUGUGGCCGUUUUAGGUACAUUUAUUCAUUAUUAUGACUUUGCUGAGUCAUUUCUCAUCCUUCUAGUCUAUCAAGCACAGUACACCUUCUCAACAUCUUAAUCAACCUGCAAGACAUGACUGUGAAACCCAAGCACUGAAAGUAGUAAAGAGCUGAAACGCUGAUAGACCAAAACAGCAAGGAUAAGCAGCCGCAAAGAUCAGAAAUGAACAUUGUGCACAUCAUGAGAUAUCCUUCUGUGGUCUGCAGAGUGAACAACCUGUAAUUUGGUCAUUAUUGAUAAUUUGGGAUUGCCUAUCGAUGCUGUGUUGGUGCCAGACAGAAGAUGGUGAAUGUGUCUGACAAAUCAACCCAGUAGAGAUAGGCAGUCCAAAAUGUUCAGUACUAUAUUUUUAUGUUGAAAAAUCACCAUUACUGAUUGACACGAUAUGACUUUUUUACUUUUAUUUCAACUUGUAAAUAUAUAUAAACCUAUUCUUAAUACAAUUAAACUUUUUUUUUAAUUUUAACUUAUACCGUUCUGUUUAGUAUUCAAUUUUUUCCGUUUGAAUUUAGGCUUUUCUGCUUGACAUUCAACAUUUCCUAUUUUCCGCACUUAAACCUUUUCCACAUGUUUGAUUUGUUUCCAAAUUUAUUUCUAUUUAUUUUUAAACCUUGUAAAAAUUAAACAACAAAUUUGAAAUAUGUUUUUAAUAGCGGUAUUUAAUAUAAAAGUUUAAAUAAAUUAAACAAUUCAAACACAUAGGGAAAAGGUUUAUAUAUAAUGGAAAAGUCAAAAUUGAAAUGUAAAAAGUUGAAUAAAUGGAAAAGUAGACAUUAAUUUUUUUUUGCCUAUGCGAUUGGU